AUUUUUACAGUAAUUUCUUUAUCUGAUUUCAUCCUGUUUACAGAAGCUGCCGUUUGGAACAUUUCCCCCCCUGCGCCACCAUUUUUGAGAUGGCUUUUCUUUAAAUAAAUGUAUAUUAAAAAAUAGCGCAGACAACAGAGUCAGCUUCCUGCUUGCUCUUUAUUGUGAGGGAGAUAAGGUUGCUAAAUGCUGUGCUAUCUGGCUCUGGUUCGGUGCGUGACCUACAUGGAUCAAGAUGGAGAUUUAAUGAUUAAGCUUAACUCCUUUAUCUUCGGCGAGGGGGGAGGAAAGAGUGCCCAAACAAACUACUUAUGUUGCGGCAUGAUAGAAUUACAUUUCAACACAAUAAUUAACUAUCUGACACAUUCCUGCGAGGCUGCAGAUGUCACUAAUGGCUCCGAAAUGCCCCCUCUGUGUUGUCAUAACCCAGAGCUCUUCGCAGCAGCCAAAACAAGCACGUACUCUGAAGAGCAUCAAGGCUGGCAAAAUGCAUCGCAUCCCUUCUCAGCUGAUUCAUACAGCCCACAGAGUAACAGAGAAACUAGGAUUGAGGAAGACUAACCUGGCAUCCUAAACAAGUGCUUUGGCCUUGCUGUAAGGUGGUGGCUUCUCCAAAUCUCGACUGUGAGGAUUGCUCCACUUCCAGCAAGCAUCGAACAGCCAUUUUUCCAGGAACUUUAAGCAAAGUUGGCCUGAAGGGGAAUCCAGAAAUAAACAAUAAGCAAAGGGGGAAAAAAUUAGCA
rnacentral:lncRNA from 1 species